rnacentral:rRNA from 1 species
CCUGACGCAGCGACGCCGCGUGAGGGAAGAAGGUCUUCGGAUUGUAAACCUCUGUCCUCAGGGACGAUAAUGACGGUAUCUGAGGAGGAAGCUCCGGCUAACUACGUGCCAGCAGCCGCGGUAAUACGUAGGGAGCGAGCGUUGUCCGGAUUUACUGGGUGUAAAGGGUGCGUAGGCGGCUCUGCAAGUCAGGUGUGAAAACUAUGGGCUUAACUCAUAGAUUGCACUUGAAACUGUGGGGCUUGAGUGGAGCAGAGGCAGGCGGAAUUCCCGGUGUAGCGGUGAAAUGCGUAGAGAUCGGGAGGAACACCAGUGGCGAAGGCGGCCUGCUGGGCUUUAACUGACGCUGAGGCACGAAAGCAUGGGUAGCAAACAGGAUUAGAUACCCUGGUAGUCCAUGCCGUAAACGAUGAUUACUAGGUGUGGGGGGUCUGACCCCCUCCGUGCCGGAGUUAACACAAUAAGUAAUCCACCUGGGGAGUACGACCGCAAGGUUGAAACUCAAAGGAAUUGACGG